rnacentral:rRNA from 1 species
GAUGAACGCUGGCGGCGUGCCUAAUACAUGCAAGUCGAGCGAACAGACGAGGAGCUUGCUCCUCUGACGUCAGCGGCGGACGGGUGAGUAACACGUGGAUAACCUACCUAUAAGACUGGGAUAACUUCGGGAAACCGGAGCUAAUACCGGAUAAUAUAUUGAACCGCAUGGUUCAAUAGUGAAAGACGGUUUUGCUGCCACUUAUAGAUGGAUCCGCGCCGCAUUAGCUAGUUGGUAAGGUAACGGCUUACCAAGGCAACGAUGCGUAGCCGACCUAAGAGGGUGAUCGGCCACACUGGAACUGAGACACGGUCCAGACUCCUACGGGAGGCAGCAGUAGGGAAUCUUCCGCAAUGGGCGAAAGCUUGACGGAGCAACGCCGCGUGAGUGAUGAAGGUCUUCGGAUCGUAAAACUCUGUUAUUAGGGAAGAACAAAUGUGUAAGUAACUAUGCACGUCUUGACGGUACCUAAUCAGAAAGCCACGGCUAACUACGUG